AUUCUGCCCAUGCGGGGAAGGAUGAGAAGCUUCGACCAAGGUUCGACUCGAGCGCCAGCGAGAAAGCGUUGCCGCAGGCAACGACCCGAAGGGCGAAGCGCGCAGCGCUGAGUAAUCCUUCUCCCACCACCA
rnacentral:sRNA from 1 species